rnacentral:ncRNA from 1 species
UUCUUCGGGGCAGGGUGCAAUUCCCUACCGGCGGUACAGCCCGCGAACUGUGCGAAAGCACAGCCGAUCCGGUCAGAUUCCGGAGCCGACAGUAUAGUCUGGAUGAGAGAAGAG